AGCUUUCUGGAUCCGUGGAGAGAUUUCGUUAAACGCCAACCCAUUAAGGUUGAUCAGACUUCCAAGAUAAAUGAAGUU
rfam:Schistosoma curassoni strain Dakar, Senegal genome assembly, scaffold: SCTD_scaffold0008529